CCUACGGGAGGCAGCAGUGGGGAAUAUUGGGCAAUGGGCGCAAGCCUGACCCAGCAACGCCGCGUGAAGGAAGAAGGCUUUCGGGUUGUAAACUUCUUUUCUCAGGGACGAAGAAAGUGACGGUACUUGAGGAAUAAGCCACGGCUAACUACGUGCCAGCAGCCGCGGUAAUACGUAGGUGGCAAGCGUUAUCCGGAUUUAUUGGGUGUAAAGGGCGGGUAGGCGGGAGCGCAAGUCAGAUGUGAAAACUCAGGGCUCAACCCUGGGCCUGCAUUUGAAACUGGGUUUCUUGAGUGCUGGAGAGGCAAGCGGAAUUCGGGGUGUAGCGGUGAAAUGCGUAGAUAUACGGAGGAACACCGGUGGCGAAGGCAGAUUGCUGGACAGUAACUGACGCUGAGGCGCGAAAGCGUGGGGAGCAAACAGGAUUAGAUACCCUUGUAGUC
rnacentral:rRNA from 1 species